AUUGAACGCUGGCGGCAGGCCUAACACAUGCAAGUCGAACGAGUGGCGGACGGGUGAGUAAUGUCUGGGCAACUGCCUGAUGGAGGGGGAUAACUACUGGAAACGGUAGCUACUACCGCAUACCAUCGGAUGUGCCGAGAUGGGAUUAGCUAGUAGGUGGGGUAAAGGCUCACCUAGGCGACGAUCCCUAGCUGGUCUGAGAGGAUGACCAGCCCCACUGGAAAUGAGACACGGGCCAGGCUCCUACGGGAGGCAGCAGGGGGGAAUAUUGCACAAUGGGCGCAAGCCUUAUGCAGCCAUGGCGGGUGUAUGAAGAAAGCCUUCGGGUUGUAAAGUACUUUCAGCGGGGGGGCGUUACCCGCAGAAGAAGCACCGGCUAACUCCGUGCCAGCAGCCGCGGUAAUUC
rnacentral:rRNA from 1 species